GAUGAAGAACGCAGUGAAAUGCGAUAAGUAGUGUGAAUUGCAGAAUUCCGUGAAUCAUCGAAUCUUUGAACGCACAUUGCGCCCCUUGGUAUUCCGAGGGGCAUGCCUGUUCGAGCGUCAUUAUAACCCCUCAAGCUCAGCUUGGUGUUGGGGCCUGCUGCACUGGCAGCCCUUAAAAUCAGUGGCGGCGCCAUCUGGCUCUAAGCGUAGUAAUUCUUCUCGCUAUGGAGUCCUGGUGGAUGCUUGCCAUCAACCCCCAAUUUUUCUAUGGUUGACCUCGGAUCAGGUAGGGAUACCCGCUGAACUUAAGCAUAUCAAUAAGCGGAGGA
rnacentral:misc_RNA from 1 species